rnacentral:rRNA from 1 species
CCUACGGGAGGCAGCAGUGGGGGAUAGUGGACAAUGGGGGGAACCCUGAUCCAGCGACGCCGCGUGAGUGAAGAAGUAUUUCGGUAUGUAAAGCUCUGUCAGCAGGGAAGAAAGCAAUGACGGUACCGGACCAAGAAGCGACGGCUAACGACGGGCCAGCAGCCGCGGUAAGACGUAGGGGGCAAGCGUUAUCCGGAAUGACUGGGUGUAAAGGGAGCGUAGACGGCUGUGCAAGUCUGGAGUGAAAGGCGGGGGCUCAACCCCCGGACUGCUCUGGAAACGGUAUGGCUGGAGUGCAGGGGAGGUAAGCGGCAUUCCUAGUGUAGCGGUGAAAUGCGUAGAUAUUAGGAGGAACACCAGUGGCGAAGGCGGCUUACUGGACUGUACCUGACGUUGAGGCUCGACAGCGUGGGGAGCAAACAGGAUUAGAUACCCCUGUAGUC